rnacentral:rRNA from 1 species
CCUAAGUAGCGGCGAGCGAACGGGAAAGAGGCCAAACCGAAGGGCUUGCUCUUCGGGGUUGUGGAUCAGCAAAAAGGACGGAAGACCUUAGCAGAAGAGGAUUGGAAAGUCCCGCCAGAGAGGGUAAAAGCCCCUUACGCGAAAAGGUCAAACGACGAGCUGACACCAGAGUACCGCAGGACACGAGAAAUCCGGUGGGAAGCCGGGAGGACCACCUCCCAAGCCUAAAUACGAAUUGGUGACCGAUAGCGCAUAGUACCGUGAGGGAAAGGUGAAAAGAACCCCGGGAGGGGAGUGAAAAAGAACCUGAAACCCUGUGUUUACAAGCAGUGAAAGUGCGAGCAAGGCACGAUCACGUACUUUUUGUAGAACGGACCGGCGAGUUACGUUAUGCAGCAAGGUUAAGAACUGAAGGUUCGGAGCCGAAGCGAAAGCGAGUCUGAACAGGGCGAUAGUUGCAUGACGUAGACCCGAAACCGGGUGACCUAUCCAUGAGCAGGUUGAAGUGGAGGUAAAGCUCCAUGGAGGACCGAACCAGACGUCUGUUGAAAAAGGCGGGGAUGACUUGUGGAUAGGGGAGAAAUUCCAAUCGAACCCGGAGAUAGCUGGUUCUCCUCGAAAUAGCUUUAGGGCUAGCCUCAUGGAUCAUUGGUGGGGGUAGAGCACUGAAUGUGCGCGGGGGCCACAAAGCCUACCAAACGCUAUCAAACUUCGAAUACCAUACAAUGCAGACCAUGGGAGUCAGUCCGCGAGAGAUAAGUUCCGCGGGCAAAAGGGGAACACCCCAGAUCAACCGCUAAGGUCCCCAAGUUCACGUUAAGUGGAGAAGGAUGUGGAAUUGCACAGACAACCAGGAUGUUGGCUCAGAAGCAGCCACACAUUUAAAGAGUGCGUAAUAGCUCACUGGUCGAGUGAUUGUGCGCCGAAGAUGUCCGGGGCUAAACGUGACACCGAAGCGAUGGGUGCAUCAGAAAUGAUGCGCGGUAGAGGAGCAAUGUGCAGAGGCAGAAGCCGUAUCGAGAGGCACGGUGGACACUGCACAAGAGAGAAUGCCGGUAUGAGUAGCGAGAGGCAUGCGAGAAACAUGCCCGUCGAAAGCCCAAGGUUUCCUGGGGAAGGUUCAUCCGCCCAGGGUAAGUCGGGGCCUAAGCCGAGGACGGAAGUCGUAGGCGAUGGACAGCAGGUGUAGAUUCCUGCACUACCGAUGGAAUGAAGCAGUGACACAGAAGGAUAACUCGAGCAGGGUGAUGGUCAACCCUGUGCAAGCAUCAAGGUUGGGUUGUAGUGAAGUACGCAAUCCUAUAAGCUGAGGUGUGAUGCGGACCGAAAUUUCAGUAGGGAAGCGAGUGAGUUCACGCUGGCGAGAAAAGCUGCUAGUACAUCCAAAGGUACCCGUACCGGAAACCGACGCAGGUGGGCGAGGAGAGAAUCCUGAGACGAACGGGAGAACCCUUGUUAAGGAACUCGGCAAAAUGACCCCGUAACUUCGGGAUAAGGGGUGCCUGCGAGAGCAGGCCGCAGAGAAUAGUCACAAGCGACUGUUUAGCAAAAACACAGGUAUCUGCGAAAGCGAGAGCUGACGUAUAGGUGCUGACACCUGCCCGGUGCUGGAAGGUUAAGGGAACAUGUUAGAGCAAUCGAAGCAUCGAACCGAAGCCCCAGUAAACGGCGGCCGUAACUAUAACGGUCCUAAGGUAGCGAAAUUCCUUGUCGGGUAAGUUCCGACCCGCACGAAUGGUGUAACGACUUGUGAGCUGUCUCAACAGGGGGCCCGGUGAAAUUGAAGUAUGGGUGAAGAUGCCCAUUACCCGCGACUGGACGGAAAGACCCCGUAGAGCUUUACUGCAGCCUGAUAUUGAGUUUCGGUAACUGAUGCACAGGAUAGGUGGGAGUCUGAGAGACAUGGGUUUCGGCUCGUGUGGAGACGAUGUUGGGAUACCACUCUUCGGUUACUGAAAUUCUAACAUAGCUCUGUGAAACCAGAGGAUGGACAGUGUCAGGUGGACAGUUUGACUGGGGCGGUCGCCUCCGAAAGAGUAACGGAGGCGCCCAAAGGUACCCUCAGAAUGGAUGGAAACCAUUCGAAGAGCGCAAAGGCAGAAGGGUGCCUGACUGCGAGAUUGACAAAUCGAGCAGAGACGAAAGUCGGGCUUAGUGAUCCGGCGGUAUUGAGUGGAAAAGCCGUCGCUUAACGGAUAAAAGCUACCUCGGGGAUAACAGGCUGAUCUCCCCC